rnacentral:rRNA from 1 species
GACGAACGCUGGCGGCGUGCUUAACACAUGCAAGUCGAACGGAAAGGCCCUGCUUUUGUGGGGUGCUCGAGUAGCGAACGGGUGAGUAACACGUGAGUAACCUGCCCUUGACUUUGGGAUAACUUCAGGAAACUGGGGCUAAUACCGGAUAGGAGCUCCUGCUGCAUGGUGGGGGUUGGAAAGUUUCGGCGGUUGGGGAUGGACUCGCGGCUUAUCAGUUUGUUGGUGGGGUAGUGGCUUACCAAGGCUUUGACGGGUAGCCGGCCUGGGGGGGGGACCGGCCAAAUUGGGACGGAGAUACGGCCAAGACUCCUACGGGAGGCAGCAGGGGGGAUUAUUGCACAAGGGGCGGAAGCCGGAUGCAGCAAGGCCGCGUGCGGGAUGACGGCCUUCGGGUGGUAACCCGUUUUCGCCGGUGACGAAGCGGGAGUGACGGUAAUGGGUAAAGAAGCACCGGCUAACUACGUG